CCUACGGGAGGCAGCAGUGAGGAAUAUUGGUCAAUGGACGAGAGUCUGAACCAGCCAAGUAGCGUGAAGGAUGACUGCCCUAUGGGUUGUAAACUUCUUUUAUCAAGGAAUAAAACGCGGCACGUGUGCCUUUUUGCAUGUACUUUACGAAUAAGGCUAGGCUAACUCCGUGGCAGCCGCCGCGGUAAUACGGAGUAUCAGAGCGUUAGCCGGAUUUAUUGGGUUUAAAGGGAGCGUAGAUGGGUUGUUAAGUCAGUUGUGAAAGUUUGCGGCUCAACCGUAAAAUUGCAAUUGAUACUGGCAGUCUUGAGUACAGUUGAGGUAGGCGGAAUUCGUGGUGUAGCGGUGAAAUGCUUAGAUAUCACGAAGAACCCCGAUUGCGAAGGCAGCUUACUAAACUGUGACUGACAUUGAUGCUCGAAAGUGUGGGUAUCAAACAGGAUUAGAUACCCCAGUAGUC
rnacentral:rRNA from 1 species